rnacentral:tRNA from 1 species
GGUAGUGUGGCCGAGAACUAGGUGGCGAGUUGUAGCCUCGUGUAGGGGAAGAGCAGGAGUCCCCGCUGCCA